rnacentral:lncRNA from 1 species
AAAAUUUUUAAAAGUCACCUUGGACUGAAGACCAGCAUCAGUUUAUAUGGUGUGAGUUCUUUCCAUUUGCCUUAGAUUGCACCUACACUGACAGAAGAAAGUAAAAAGGUAAGCAAUUAUCUUAGGAUUGUACUAGUAAAAAUUAUAUCAAUUAUAUCUACUUGGUGUAGACAGCCCAGCCUGUCUUUCAGCAUAGGAAAAUUGGUCAUGGGUAGAUUUUUCAGGGUGACUUAGUUUGAGACCAA